rnacentral:lncRNA from 1 species
CUCACAAUCAUGAGGCAAAUCAUUCUUAUAUUUCCUUUAUAGGUGAGAACUCAGAUGCUCAGAGAAGGUAAAAAGUUUUUCUAAGUCUCCAAAACCAUGACUGUGACCUGAUGUUGUCUACUGUGAUUUCUACGUAGUCUGAUGAUCAACUUUACCCAUGCUGACCCCAAUACAGAACUCCUUGAAAUCAUUGGAAACAGAUUGACCUUACCUGUUUCUUGGAUUGUUGAUAAAAGAUAUGGAAUGAAACUUGCCCUCCAUUCCUGGAAGAUGCCUUUGCCACUGACUGUCACCAGAGGAAGAAGUGAAAGGGUACUCCUACCCCUCUUUCCCUCAAAACUUGAAAAGCCAAAGACGAUGAGUUUUGUGGGAUUCCAAACAGCAGAGAAGCAAUGCAAGAGUGAGACAGCCCCAGAAGAGAAACUCACAUCUGAAAGUCAUUUUCCAAAACUUCAUUCAGCACAGGAACAAUGCAGCAUUCAAGCAUGAGGAGUUGGAACUGUGUGCUGUGCCAGGUCAAAUCAUAACCUCCAGCUCCCUUCCAUAGAGUGGCUUGCCAUGGUGGGCCAGGACACAGUCUGAUUUCAAAGGAAGGGCUGGGGCGAGCCAGGGAAAGGGGCAAGGAGCCAACAAAAGAAAGUCAAGAAACCUAAAACUGGUGGGUUUCAGUAACAUACAGAGGAGCUGUGCAAAGUCUGUCUCUAGUUACCUAGAAUUUGGAAGCUAUGAAAGAAAGAGCUCAUGGUGACUCUUGACAGAAAGCUGGCAAAGUGGCCACAAGUUUGGGCCGGGGCACUAGUGACUUGGAGCCUGUGCCUCUUCCUUCCUGCCUGUCUAGCAGUCUUCCUUGUAAACACCUGGUCUCAGCUGGCCAAAAAGCUUCUCAGCACUCCUCUGGGUCAACCUUCUCUUAGCAUUACUGAUUCCAUUCAAGAAAUAGCAGUGAUAAUGUAGUGCUAUAAAUCAUCCUCUUACAAGUUACUGUGCUCCAAGUCUCUAUAGUUUUGUUCAGAACCCAAUGGCAACUCCACUCAGAUGCAUUUGAAUUUAUUGUGGAGAAGUCAAACAAAUUAAGAGAUGGCAGUGCAAUGUUGUUCCAGUGACAUAGUCAUUGGUACUCUAGUGGAGUAGUUAGGGAGGCACUAAGCUCUCAGGGG